UAUUACUCUUGUUGGGCUUUUGAUUUUAAGAUCUGAGAUGCCAAUUUGUGUCUAUGGUAUGCGCUGUGUUUGUAUAAACCUUGUUGUGUUUCUGUAGACUAGGGAAUAUGGGAAUAGCUUGAUUUUUUUCUUGUAGAAUUAAACUCAUGGAAGAACAUAAUAGGAACUGAAAGUAAAAUUACCAGUAAAAGAGAAAUCUGCUUUUGAGAUUUUGUAAAGAUGGAUGUAAACGCAGAGAUAAUGAAAAAAAAGAAUUACUGAAUGUGGUAUAUAUGUAUAUAGUUGAAAAAAAGAAUUUUAUUUUAAACUAAAUUUUAAAAUAAAAAUAUCGAAAUUGAUAAUUAAGGAAGAUAAAAAUAAAAUAAAUCUGAGAUGGGUAAAAUAAGGUUUAUAAACAUUUAAAUUAAAGAGACAUUUCAACUUAUACUAAAAUUUGGCUCAAAAGAGCUUAAAUUCUGAAAAAUAAAAAUCCAAAUCAUAAAAAUACUAAAAUAGUUAACGGGUUAUUACAACUCAUCAUCGCCGGAAUUCGAUUAUUUGUUUAAAGUUGCUAGUUGGAGAUUCUGGGGCUGGGAAAAGUAGUCUUUGGCUGAGUUUAACAUCUGAUGCUUUCGAGGAGCUCUCUCCCACACAAUAUCUUCUUCGUGUUGUUUAAUCUGGAUAUUCUCGUGUUUUUCAAUCAUAUGAUUCCUCUAAGUUUGUGCAUAAUAUGUUCAGUUUAGUUAAUGUGGUGGGAAUAGGAAAUUUCAAUGUGGAGAUUUUGAUAUUUUGUGUAGGGUCUUGAUUGAAAGGAUUGAGGAAUUGUUGUGGUUAUUGACAUAGCUAAUGGGUUCAUCGCAACUCCACUUUCUUUCACUCGUUUUUACCUCGAAAUCCUUAAUAUUGUAUUUUAAUUUAUUAUAGUCGUUUCCAGUCACUGUGUUCAACUCUCCUCUUCUCAGAUACCGCAUGGCUGCACGCGUCGCCACCUCCGCUGCCAAGCGCUGCCUUCCGAUGUUUCCUUCUCUCUAUUGCCAACAUGUUCGAUCUAGCAAUUGUUUCUUGGGCCCCAGAAUCGGAACCCUAAUUCAACAGACCAGCAGAGAGUGGGAAAGUAGGAAGGGGGGUUCGACGAGAAUCUAUGGUGCCGCACCUUAUUGGAAAAAGCUUGUGCCCCUAGGUAAUGAGGCAAUUGUUCCCUGCAUAUCCGAGACAAAACAUACGUCUUCCUAUGGACUCUCGGAUCACUUUUUU